AUGGCUUUCCGUGGUUUUGUAGGGGUGCGUCUGGAGGAGAAUACAAAGGAGCGCUGCGAUUGGUGGGUUCUGGGUGAGAUGAGGAUACUGGCUAUCGCAGCUCAACACAUGUGUUUGUUUGCAGGGAGGGGAGGGGAGGGGGAGGUGGGCAGGCUGAGUCCGUGGAACAUUCUUGUUAUAUUCUGCUGCUUCAUUUUGUUGCUGCACAAUAGAAGUUUGGAAAAUUCAGCAAUUUCGUGUCCGCGCAUCUGGUUUUCAGUUCUUUUGGCCGACCUAAUUGAGCUAUCGGAGGUGUUGCGGUCUUUUAGCAAACAUGCCCUAUAUUCUAUGGUUUGGCAUCUACAGGAUGCCAUCUCUGGUCAUGGAUCCACUAUGGCUGCUUCGUCCUUCACUUAG
rnacentral:rRNA from 1 species